rnacentral:rRNA from 1 species
CAGCAGCCGCGGGAAUACGUAGGGUGCAAGCGUUAAUCGGAAUUACUGGGCGUAAAGCGUGCGCAGGCGGUUAUGUAAGACAGUUGUGAAAUCCCCGGGCUCAACCUGGGAACUGCAUCUGUGACUGCAUAGCUAGAGUACGGUAGAGGGGGAUGGAAUUCCGCGUGUAGCAGUGAAAUGCGUAGAUAUGCGGAGGAACACCGAUGGCGAUGGCAAUCCCCUGGACCUGUACUGACGCUCAUGCACGAAAACGUGGGGAGCAAACAGGAUUAGAUACCCCUGUAGUCCCUGUCUCUUAUAU